rnacentral:rRNA from 1 species
UACAGAGGUCUCGAGCGUUGUUCGGAUUCAUUGGGCGUAAAGGGCGCGUAGGCGGCGGGGUAAGUCUGGUGUGAAAUCUCGGAGCUCAACUCCGAAAUUGCACUGGAUACUGGCUCUGCUAGAGGGCUGGAGAGGAGAUCGGAAUUCACGGUGUAGCAGUGAAAUGCGUAGAUAUCGUGAGGAAGACCAGUGGCGAAGGCAGAUCUCUGGACAGCUCCUGACGCUGAGGCGCGAAGGCUAGGGGAGCAAACGGG